GACGAACGCUGGCGGCGUGCUUAACACAUGCAAGUCGAACGAAGAGCGAUGGAAGCUUGCUUCUAUCAAUCUUAGUGGCGAACGGGUGAGUAACGCGUAAUCAACCUGCCCUUCAGAGGGGGACAACAGUUGGAAACGACUGCUAAUACCGCAUACGAUCUAACCUCGGCAUCGAGGAUAGAUGAAAGGUGGCCUCUACAUGUAAGCUAUCACUGAAGGAGGGGAUUGCGUCUGAUUAGCUAGUUGGAGGGGUAACGGCCCACCAAGGCGAUGAUCAGUAGCCGGUCUGAGAGGAUGAACGGCCACAUUGGGACUGAGACACGGCCCAGACUCCUACGGGAGGCAGCAGUGGGGAAUCUUCCGCAAUGGACGAAAGUCUGACGGAGCAACGCCGCGUGAGUGAUGACGGCCUUCGGGUUGUAAAGCUCUGUUAAUCGGGACGAGAGGCCUUCUUGCGAA
rnacentral:rRNA from 1 species